GUCAAAUCAUCAUGCCCUUUAUGACCUGGGCUACACACGUAAUACAAUGGCGCUCUAACAGAGGGAAGCAAGUCCGCGAGGGCAAGCGAAUCUCGAAAAAGCGUCUCAGUUCGGAUUGCAGGCUGCAACUCGCCUGCAUGAAGUCGGAAUUGCUAGUAAUCGCGGAUCAUCAUGCCGCGGUGAAUACGUUCCCGGGCCUU
rnacentral:rRNA from 1 species